AAUGAAAUGCCUGAAAAAGGAUUAUUUUGAUAGAAUAAAACAUGUGUAAUUUUUAUACUUUCAUUA
rnacentral:tRNA from 1 species